CACGUGGGAAUAUGCCUUUCGGUACGGAACAACUCAGGGAAACUUGAGCUAAUGCCGUAUGCGCCCUUACGGGGAAAGAUUUAUCGCCGAAAGAUUAGCCCGCGUUGGAUUAGCUAGUUGGUGGGGUAACGGCCUACCAAGGCAACGAUCCAUAGCUGGUUUGAGAGAACGACCAGCCACACUGGGACUGAGACACGGCCCAGACUCCUACGGGAGGCAGCAGUGGGGAAUCUUGGACAAUGGGGGAAACCCUGAUCCAGCCAUGCCGCGUGAGUGAUGAAGGCCUUCGGGUUGGAAAAC
rnacentral:rRNA from 1 species